rnacentral:rRNA from 1 species
GCAGUUAAAACAAUAAGUACCCCGCCUGGGAGUACGUUCGCAAGAUUAAAAUUCAAAGGAAUUGACGGGGCCCGCACAAGCAGGGGAGCAUGUGGUUUAAUUGGAAGCAACGGGAAGAACCUUACCUAGACUUGACAUCUCCUGAAUAGUGCAGAGAUGCAUGAAGCCCUUCGGGGCAGGAAGACAGGUGGUGCAUGGUUGUCGUCAGCUCGUGUCGUGAGAUGUUGGGUUAAGUCCCGCAACGAGCGCAACCCCUAUCAUUAGUAGCCAGCAGUUCGGCUGGGCACUCUAGGGAGACUGCCAGGGAUAACCUGGAGGAAGGCGGGGAUGACGUCAAAUCAUCAUGCCCCUUAUGAUCUGGGCUACACACGUGCUACAAUGGUGGCUACAAAGAGAAGCAACCUCGCGAGAGUGAGCAAAUCUCAGAAAGGCCAUCCCAGUUCGGAUUGUAGUCUGCAACUCGACUACAUGAAGCUGGAAUCGCUAGUAAUCGCGAAUCAGAAUGUCGCGGUGAAUACGUUCCCGG